AAAGCUCAGUUGGUUAGAGCAUAGUGCUGGUAACGCCAAUGUUGCAGGUUCAAUUCCCAUAUGAGACA